rnacentral:tRNA from 1 species
GGGUCGAUGGCGUAGUUGGUUAUCGCAUCUGUCUAACACCUUCUCCAGUAGGCAUUACUGGUCGGUUCACAGAAGGUCCUCAGUUCGAUCCUGGGUCGACUCA